UUCUUUGCUGACGAGUGGCGGACGGGUGAGUAAUGUCUGGGAAACUGCCUGAUGGAGGGGGAUAACUACUGGAAACGGUAGCUAAUACCGCAUAACGUCGCAAGACCAAAGAGGGGGACCUUCGGGCCUCUUGCCAUCGGAUGUGCCCAGAUGGGAUUAGCUAGUAGGUGGGGUAACGGCUCACCUAGGCGACGAUCCCUAGCUGGUCUGAGAGGAUGACCAGCCACACUGGAACUGAGACACGGUCCAGACUCCUACGGGAGGCAGCAGUGGGGAAUAUUGCACAAUGGGCGCAAGCCUGAUGCAGCCAUGCCGCGUGUAUGAAGAAGGCCUUCGGGUUGUAAAGUACUUUCAGCGGGGAGGAAGGGAGUAAAGUUAAUACCUUUGCUCAUUGACGUUACCCGCAGAAGAAGCACCGGCUAACUCCGUGCCAGCAGCCGCGGUAAUACGGAGGGUGCAAGCGUUAAUCGGAAUUACUGGGCGUAAAGCGCACGCAGGCGGUUUGUUAAGUCAGAUGUG
rnacentral:rRNA from 1 species